rnacentral:rRNA from 1 species
UACAGAGGGUGCGAGCGUUGUCCGGAAUCACUGGGCGUAAAGGGCGCGUAGGCGGUCUGGUAAGCGUGUGGUGAAAGCUCGGGGCUCAACCCCGAGUCGGCCGUGCGAACUGCGAGACUGGAGCAGAUCAGAGGCAGGCGGAAUUCCGGGUGUAGCGGUGGAAUGCGUAGAGAUCCGGAAGAACACCGGUGGCGAAGGCGGCCUGCUGGGCAGUUGCUGACGCUGAUGCGCGACAGCGUGGGGAGCAAACAGG